CGCCUUCAGCGCCCGGCUGCGAUACUCACCCGGGGGCGGGCUCGCCGGCCGGGGCGGGGCGGGACUCCGCUCCGGCCGCGAGCACCCCGGGAGCUGGCCGCCUCGCGUUGGGGCGCUUCUCCUUCAGGCGGGGGGGGGGUCUGGGCCCGUGGGGCGGGACCCCAUGGAGCUCGUUGGCCCCGGGACCUGCGGAGGAGGGGGCGCGGCACGGGCCGCGGAGGGGCGGCCAGCGCCCGAGGCGAGGGUGCACUUCCGAGUGACGAGGUUCAUCAUGGAGGCAGGUGUCAAGCUAGGGAUGCGGUCCAUUCCCAUCGCCACCGCCUGUGCCAUUUACCAUAAGUUCUUCUGCGAGAUCGACCUGGACGCCUAUGACCCCUACUUGGUGGCCAUGUCUUCCCUUUACUUGGCCGGCAAAGUGGAGGAGCAGCACCUGCGCACUCGUGACAUUAUCAACGUUUCCAACAGGUACUUCCACCCAGGCAGUGAGCCCUUGGAGCUGGACUCACGCUUCUGGGAGCUGCGGGACAGCAUCGUGCAGUGUGAGCUACUCGUGCUGCGGGUUCUGCGUUUCCAGGUCUCCUUCCAGCACCCGCACAAGGUCAAGACGCUGUGUCUGGAGUUUUUAUGUUUGAGCUGGGCCAAGGGGUACCUGCUCCACUACCUGGUCUCCCUCAAGAACUGGCUGAACCGUUACAGCUGGCAACGGACCCCCGUCUCCGUCACCGCCUGGGCCCUGCUGCGGGACAGCUACCAUGGGGGGCUGUGCCUCCGGUUCCGGGCUCAGCACAUAGCCGUGGCGGUGCUUCACCUGGCCCUGCAGGCCUACGGGGUCGAGGUGCCCGCCGAGGCCGAGGCUGAGAAGCCCUGGUGGCAGUCAUUGUCCACAAAGACAGACACAGGCUACUUGGGAACCUCGAAGCUUGAAAAUCCUCUGUCGUAGCAGUCUAAGGCGGGUCUCCCCCUCGACGGCGGGGCCGCGGAGGGACGUUCAGCAGCAUCGCCGGCCUCCACCCGCAGAUGCCAGGAGCGUCCUCCCCACAGUCAGGACAACCAAGACCGUGUCCACACGUUGCCAAGUGUCUUGGGAUGGGGGUCACCCCCGGCUGAGAAUUGCUGAGCUCAACCAGGCGCUGUUAUUGAAUUGAGUGGGGGCUUGUCCCAGAUCAGAGAUUAAGAAGUCUGGCUUCACGUUGGAAGAAGGAUAAGGGGUGCUCUAAAAAGACAAUGGAUGAGUGAAAUUCCGUGCAAGCAGACUUCGAGGUGAUGGGCGCCUCCUCUUUAUGCCCCGCCCCUCCCCUGCGACCCCACAGUGGCCGCCUCCCCUUCCCGAGGCACCCCACCCCUGCCCACUCACCCUUCCUGGGAGACCACAGCUUCUCCCUGUCUGACCGCACCCCCCGCCCUGCCCCGGCCGGGACCUCGUCUGCUUGGUCAGCUGCCCCACGUGCAGUGCUGGGGCCUGGCGGGUGGUAGGUGCGCAGAUACGUCUGUGGCCCCGGGCGCUGCCCCAGGGCAGCAUGGGGGGCAAAGGGCGGCUGUGUGGACAAAAGCAUUGCUCCGUGCCGGGCUUCUUGAGGACUUCCACGUCAUGUGAACCCAGUGUCCCCCCUCUUUGAAUCAGGUGGUGGCUGCUUGGAUCUGCCGGGUGAUCACUCGUUUCCUGCGCGUGGCUUCCGUGCUGCUCUUCUUUUCACUUGCUCCUGACCAUGACCGGGGCGGAGCCGCCACGGCACCUCUGCCUCCCGCUCUCGGCCCUCGGCCCUCACCCCUCACCCCUCGCGAGAGAAGAGCACGGGGAGCAGCUCCGCCAUGGGCCUCUUUUCUGGGCGCCACACACGUACCCAGUAACCGUUCCUCUGGACGAGGCUGCCCUCUGGGCGGCACAUCCACGCUUCCCUAGCUCUUCACUCUCUCCUGGUGUCUCUGGGCUCCGUGCACCGGAGCCAUCGGGCAUCGUUGGGGCACGUGAGGGCCGCUUGCUUGGUGAUGAACGGCUGCUGACGGGCCCCCUGCCCAGCCCUGGGAUGCUUCCUCUGAAUUGUGAGGCACUCUUCCUGCUCACCUGUUCUCAGCCACCGCUUCUCUGAUGCCACUUGUGUGCCGUGGCGGGGCUUCCCACGUGCCUCAGGGGACUUGACAUCCCCACUGCAACCUGUCUGCCCUGGAGCGUGGGGCCUCUGGGUAGAUGAGGCUCUGGCUCUAAAGCAGUAGUGAGCUGUAGCAGCUGUCAGAAUAUCCAGCUUUUUAAGGCAGAGUCCUGUUCCGUGGUAUGGCUGGACCACGUCAUGUUGGUUCAUUCCUCUGUGGGUGGACACUUGGGUUGCUUCCAGCUUUUGACCCUGGACUACAUUUAAAAAAAAUACUUAUUUAUUUGUUUGGCUCCGCUGGGUCGUAGUUGAGGCAUAUGGGAUCUUUAGUUGCGGCAG